rnacentral:rRNA from 1 species
UAAGAGAUGGUCCCGCGGUGCAUUAGCUAGAUGGUGAGGUAACGGCUCACCAUGGCCAUGAUGCAUAGCCGAGUUGAGAGACUGAUCGGCCACAAUGGGACUGAGACACGGCCCAUACUCCUACGGGAGGCAGCAGUAGGGAAUCUUCCACAAUGGGCGCAAGCCUGAUGGAGCAACGCCGCGUGUGUGAUGAAGGGUUUCGGCUCGUAAAGCACUGUUGUAAGAGAAGAAUGACGUUGAGAGUAACUGUUCAAC